AAUUUAAAUUCCUACAUGUAUUCCCGAAGUGCUUCAAGUUACAAAGCACGAUUACAUUGAUUUUAUUUUUUUACCUUUGCACAUAGAUUAAUAUCGUAAUCAACUUGGGUUGGACCGCUUUAAUACCUGCUGUGGAGAUCACUGUUGCAUCACAUCUCUAUAUGGAAAUCAGUGUUGCAGAGAACAGACAACAUCCACUAGAAAAUCUGCACUAAAUUGUAGAGGAGUUUCUUGUCUGAGCUUCGGUUGGCAAUUUAUGAUCCGAUGUGUUAAUCCAACCUCCAAACGACAUGUUUUAAGCAAAUUAGAAUUUGACAUAAAUAGAUUUGGGUCAUGAACAGAUAAAACCAUUUAGAUCUGUUUAUUAAAUGAGUUAGGUUCAGGUUUGACCUUUGAUCUAUUUAAACUUAUUUAAAAUAUGUUUAACCUAUUUAAAACCUACUUGAUAUGUUUUUGACCCAUUUAACUUGCUUCACUUAACUUGUUCAAUUUGUUUAAAUCCAUUUAAUCCAUUAAAAAUCUGUUUAAUCCGUUAAACCUAACUUAGCCUGUUUAAUAAAUGGGUUAUAUGGGUCGGAUCGAGUUACCUUUUUAAUAAAUAGGUUAAAUUCGGAUAUGAAAUUUUGACCCAUUUAAUAAAUAGGUCGGACUUCGAUUGAUGGAUUUUUGCCUAGACUUAUAUCGGGUCUAAUCUGUAUCUGAUCCAAUCCGAUCUUAUUGCCGCUCCUAGUUGGAGCUGUUUGCACCCAAAUGUUUGCUAGCACAGCGCCUCAGAAUGCAAGGAAGCAAAUGGAUGGUCCUAACUCAAGUUAGGAAGCAAAUGGUUUGAGCUUGCUUGAGUCUAACCUGACUCAUCCUUGGCCCAGAUUAGAGUCAAGUCUCUGGGAUGGUUUUGUGUUGUGGCCGGGCGUGAUAUUUUUAGGCUAGACGCCAUACAAUUUGUUAUGGCCAAGCUGGGCCAGCUACAACUUUGUAGAUUGGUUUCUGAGCCUUGUUUUCAGGCUAACAUUGGCAUAGGAAAGUCUGCAGUGAUCUAGAUUUCCUCUUUUAUUCCUCAAAGUUACAUUGGAAAAUUUCUCCAUUGGCGGUGUGCGUGAUUGGUUUCAUGUCCAGAUGCACAUUAUUCCUAAACUUCCCUAAGAGUUCAAAGUCAAGGUUAUGCUCAACCUUGCUUGACUUGGGGGACCGAUUUGGGUCACUAAAGUUCUCCAUGAAACUAAUUACUCAAGUCUAUCUGUCAUUUUAUCAUUUUAACAAGCCUGAUAAAAGAUAAUCAAUGAUCAGGUGCAAGAUAUUUGUAUACCAUCUUUCUAUGACUCCAUGGCUGAAGGAGAAAUGAUCUGUCUAAGAAACAUUAUUGUUACAAUAAGACGGUGUAGCAUUUCCAAUAUUUAACGCUGAACAAUCUGUCUCAAGACAAUGAAAAUUGAAGAAGUGAUGUUUGAACUUUAGGUGGAUUCUGAGAGUGCAUAAAACUACUCUCUCUCUAGCUUAAUUUACAUAGAUGCUAGUUUAUUUGAAAUACUUCUGCUAGAUCCUUGAGCAUAGCCUAGUGGUACACUCUCUCAUCCCUAAAGUAAGAGGCUAACCAUUCAAAAUUUGUGGUGGUAUCUCUCAAAAAUUUUGGCUGUGCUCGAGGAAGCAAUGGACUAGAACCGUCUAUGUUGGUAGUCUUGGUUUGCAGGGUAGCCCUAAAAUUUGAAUGGUGUUAAUGUUCGAGGAUUUAGAUCCAUUAUCAUUGUGCAAUACUUGGAAAAGGGAUGAUACCAUCGGAGGAAGUGCUUGAUAGUAAAUACUAUUUAGAUUUUAAAAAAUUGUUAAAUCAAAAUUUAGGCUUCACUGAAAUCACCAACCCUAGUGGCUGGUACCAUCUUCUAAUGGGUUACCCAAUACCUAGAGUCUUAAAGAUCAAAAGGAGUACUGCUAAUCUGCUAUCAAGGAGUUUAAAAAAGUGAGUAUAAGAUUCAUUGUUUGGAAUGGGUAUAUGCCGGCCACUUGCAAUCAAUGUUGUUUGCAUAGAAGCAUCUUCCAUUUCUCUUUCCAAGUUAUAGACAACAUCGAAAAGGUUCGAUAUAGGCCAUUGAGCAACUUGAUGUUAGUGAUGAUUGGUGCAAUUUGAUAUCUAGUCUACAACUGCAUCUACGAAUAAUUUUAUAUUGCUUGUCUGUAUAGAGAAAAAAAUUAGGCUACAAAUUGCAUGGACAAUUUUAGAUAUAAGUGUAGGAUGGUUUAAGAUGGAGAGGACAUAUGGAUGUAGAAAAUUUGCUGAGUGCUGAUGUUAUUAGACCAUUUCUACAUCCUAAAAAAUUCCUCCUUACCACCACCAAUACCCCCAAAAAAUAUAAGCAAGUUCUUGUUGUAAGUCACUGAUAGUAUUAUAAAUUCCUAAAAAAAUAUACUUUAAUUGUANNNNNNNNNNNNNNNNNNNNNNNNNNNNNNNNNNNNNNNNNNNNNNNNNNNNNNNNNNNNNNNNNNNNNNNNNNNNNNNNNNNNNNNNNNNNNNNNNNNNNNNNNNNNNNNNNNNNNNNNNNNNNNNNNNNNNNNNNNNNNNNNNNNNNNNNNNNNNNNNNNNNNNNNNNNNNNNNNNNNNNNNNNNNNNNNNNNNNNNNNNNNNNNNNNNNNNNNNNNNNNNNNNNCCCUUGUUUACCAAGGUCCAAGAUGGAGAUUAACUUAAAUUUCAAUUGGCCCAAAUUGACUAGGGCUCUGGUCAAUUUCACUUUCUAGACUAGAUACUGUGAUCCAACAAGAUCGCCCCCUUCUUUGCGAUUUAUAGGAAAAAUAGAAGAAAGCUCUAGUUUACCAAGAUAAAAGAUGGAGAUUAACGUAACCCAAAAUGGCUAGGGCUAGUCAAUUUCAGUUUCUAGACCACAUACUGUGAUCCACCAAGAUCGCCCCCGUCUUUGCCGCAGCCCUGCCCCAGAGGGAAAACCAUGGCCCAAGCGGCGGCAUUGGUGGCCGCGCCUCUAAGGAACUCCCCUCGCCCCUGGCUCUCUUCCCUCCUCUUCUUCACCCGAAAACCCUACCCUCUCUCCUUCUCCUCCUCCACCUCCUCCCUCUCCCGCGGCCCCCGCGGCCUGAGGCCCCUCGGCGCUCCUGUGCCCGAGGACGAUGACACCGAUUCCGACGCCCCCCCGAGCGCCAAGAAGAGCCGGAACGAGCUCAAGAGGGAGGCCCGCCGCGCCGUCCAAUGGGGGAUGGAGCUCUCCACCUUCUCCCCCCCUCAGAUCAAACGCGUCCUCAGGUAUCUUCUCUGGACUUCUUGGUUUCCCGAACGCUGAUCACCAGUGAUAGUUUUCUGGCAGAUUGUUUUAUUCCUGACUGUUGCUGUUGUUCGGAUUGCAGGGUUGCUUCCCUCGACCGCGAGGUCUUCGACGCACUCAUGCUCGUAAAGGUACUGCUUUAUUGCAUUGUUUUCUUUUUCUUUUUCCAUUUGUUUUGGGGUUGGAUUGACGAGGGUUCGUUUUCUGUGUUUAUCGCUUCUUAACCUGGGAAUGAAUUUAUUUUUCGUUGGCAGAGAUUGGGCCCGGACGUCCGAGAAGGGAAAAGGAGACAGUUUAACUACAUUGGUAUGCUUAGUUCACUUGAAUCUCCAUGUAUUUGAUGCAAGGCAUUUGACUGUUAUGGUGUCUUUGAAGUGAUUACCCUGUCAUAAUUUUGCCAAAUUGAUGACAAAUUUAUAAUAUAGGGGCUAUUGGUAUUCUUGUAAAUGUCAAUAAUGGACCUGGAAAUUAUAUCUUCCCACGUACAUCAGCCAAAAUGUUGACGCUUGAGAUUGAUUUUGGAGUCCCCUGAUAAAGGACCAAAGCUCUUUUGAAAGAAUUGUUUAGGAUGUACAUUGCAUGGUUCCAAGCAAAUUGUGUUCCAGCCAACAAUACUCAACCAAGUUGAUGCAUGAAUAAUACAUAAUCUUCACAGCUAUAUAUGAGUGUUAACAUUUUCCUUCAUGCAAAAGCUUUCACACUUCCAAACCCGAUAUGCCCCUAUACAUAAAAUAACUCAAGAAACUAUACCUACAACUUAAAGAAGGAUCCCCACCCUGAUAAUAAAUAACCAAUGCAUCCUGCUGUCCCAAUGCUCCAUCUCAACAAAUGCACUAUCUGCAUUUUAUUGGAAUUUAAUUUUACUUCCAUGCUAGUAUGUUGAGAGUUUCACUCCUUAGUAAACUAGCGUGCCCUAUACCUAUGCGAGAGUCUGGUUAUGUUGAAGGUUAGUGGAGAUCAUGCCUCCAUGGGAACCUAUGGCCCCUUUUCCUCGUGGAACUGAUGUUAUUUCCAGUUCUUUCCAGCUGGGUCCUAAAGAAAAUCAUAGACUAGGCACAUCCUUGGCAGCCUGCCUUGUUCUUUUUUGGAAGUAUGGAUGACUUUUAUUGAUUAAUUUGAAUAAAAUUCACCCCCCCCCCACAAAAAAAAAAAUACUUGCGUCAUUUGAUAGAUGCAUUCUCACUCUUAGCUGCUUCACUUCUUUUAUUUUUUUCCCUUGGAGCAAGAAGUAAACCAAUCUGGGUGUACUUAGCAAUGGAAGUUGCUAAGUGGGGACCAUAUCAAGAUGACAGAUUCUAAAACCCUACAUUCCAAAGAUCCAAAUGGGUAUAUGCAUAGUAAUCUACUUGCCCUGAUGAAUAUAAUAGGAUAUUUUGCCAUCAAUUCUCGCAAAUUCAUCUAUCUGUUGUCAACUAAAUUGAUCAACUAGGCUCCCCUGAGCUGGCAAUUGAUCCAACCAAAACUCAGUAAAAGACUUAUCACCAAUUUGGUAAGGGACAAGAGGGUAGUGGAUCUCAAUUUUGGUAUGCUUCUGCAAGUAACAUAAUGGAAAUCCUAGGUUUAAUAUUCCCAAAUUGCUAGUUAGAGUAUAUGUUACUUUCACUUAGCCUAUCAAAGAGAGGUUAUUCUAGAAAGAAAAUUUCAAAUUAAUUUCAUUUAUGCAGCAUUCUUCCAAUCCACUAGCUUUCUCAGUCCAAGACCACCUUCAAAGAUCUAUUAAUAAAUUUCCAGCUAACAAUAUGGAAGUUAUCCCUUCAGAGAAAUUUCUGCAUCUUCCUCAUAAUGGUUUAAAAUUCUUCUAGGAAUGGUACAGGCAACAGACAUAUAAUCUUGGAAGAAUGAGCUAAUGGAUUCGAGCAAUCUAUAUCUCCCAGCAAAGAGAGUAAUUUAAAUUUCCAUGAAUCCUGUUACUUUUUACCCUGUCUGAGAGAGCCACAAACAGAAUAACUUAGCUUCUGCAUAAGAGGGAGGCUCAACACUUGAGGGAAAUCAACCUUAGAGAUUCAAAAUAAACUACAAAUGCCAGAUUUAUUGGAGGAACAUUGCUGAAAUAUAUCCUGCUUUUCUCUUUGCUCAAUAAAGAGACCAUUAAAGAAAGAUAAUGUAGUGACAAGAUCGUCUAAGUAAGAUAGGAGAUGUCAGCUUUGCAGAAAAUUACCAAAGUAUGCUACAAAAAAUAAGGUGAGUUACAAGGAUAUUAUUACCAAACUUGUAAGCUAAAUUUGGCAUUUGGAAAUGACCAGAGCAGGAUGGACAAGAAAGAUACACUGUGACAGUAAUGAAAAGAUGAGGUGAGAGGAUCAUCUUGCCUUACACUUAGUGAGACCAUAGGGAGCCAUUGAAAGGAAUAGGGAAUGAAGGAGCAUCUGCAUAUUCCUUAAUCCUACUUAUCCAAAUCUCAUUGAAUCCCAGAUUUUUAAAAUCUUGAAUGAAGAACUUCCUAUUUAUGCUGGAAGAUGCCUUCCAAAAAAUCAACUUUAAUGCAACAUUUUUGGCCCCUUUAUUUUUCAGAAAAUCAUCAGUCGUCUGUUGGAAGGAGGAUAUGUGUGACAAAUAACCUUUCCUUGAUAAAAGCAUGCCAAUUCAAAGAUAUUAGAUCUUGCACGAUAACUUGAAGUCUGUCUGCAAGAACUUAGUAAUAAACUUGUACAGAUUAUUGUAGGAAGAAAUAGGUCUUAAAUCUGCAAGAGAACAAGCGAUCAUCAGAAUGAAGGCGACAAAAAUCUGAAUUACCUCAUUAAACAAUUUUUUAGAAGUGAAGAAACAAGAAACAGCAGUGCAGAUAUCAUCUUUAAUCAAAUGCCAGUUUUUUUGAAGGAAACUGUCAGUGAAACAAUCAGGCCCUGGCGAUCGAUAAGGGUUGGAUUUCAUAACAGCUUGCUCUAGUUCAUGGAAGGUACAGGCCAACUCAUCUAUCUUGCCAUAUUACGAGAAAUUAAUCUUGUAAAGAAAAACUUUGAGAUGAAUAAUCGUCACCUUUUGAUCCAAAAGGACUACUAUAGAAUUGCAUUGCAUCUUUUUUAACAUUGAUAUCCUCAGAUCUAGUUCCAGUAACAAGUAAAAUGUUAUCAGAGGACCUUCUCGACUGAAUAGUUUUGUAGAAAACAUUUGAAUUCCUGUCACCCAAUGUGAGCCACUGGAUUCCAUCUGCCAUAAGUCACUCCACCAUAUCAAGAAUUGAUUCUUUAUUCAAAUUUCUUUUCUUCCAUUUAGUGUCUGGGGUUUUCAAUCCAAUCUUUCAGAUCCUGUCAACUGUUCACUUUUCUUUUCUUAGUGCUUGAUUGUGUGGAUCAUUUACUGGAUAGUCUAAUUCAAAGAUCAUACAAUAUGUGCAUGUCUGUGUGUUGACACAGGUUUUUGUUUUUUUUGCUGUUUUAUAAAUUACUUUGUUUUGAUGGAUUUUUUACAAUUUAUGUUAGGAAGACUGUUGCGGAAAGCACAACCUGAUUUGAUGGAUGCUCUAAUUCAGGCUUCUAAAGAUGGUGACAAUAGUAGGCUGCUUGCUUUCUCUGGUCAGGAAACAUGGUCUAUUGAAGAUGAUGAAGAGGAAGAAGAAAUCACAUAUGAGGAGGAGGUAAACAAUACUACAUUUGCCCUGAGUGUAGAUUUUGCCCUCUUCAGUUGCCAUGAUAUCUUGUAACAUAUUAUUAAUUCACAAUCAUUUCGCUGCUGAUGCCAUGCUCAUUAUGGGAAUUUCUUCUAGGAGAGUGAGAACUAUAUAGAAAUAGCAGCUAGAUGGUUUGAUGGCCUUGUUUACAAAGAUCCAUCAAUUACGAAUGAAGUGUACUCAGUUGAAAAUGUUGAAUUUGAUCGUCAGGUAUUAUUGUUUUUCUAAAUUUUGACUUUAAAAUAUAUGACUUAAGCAUGACAGAAAAGUCUAACAUUGACAUCAUGAAGUUUUUCUAUGAUGACCAAUGCCUCAAAAGAAAAAAAAAUAGCAUGCUAUUCGAACCAGAAAUGCAUAUUUCAUAUUAUUUCUUGCUUAACAUUUUUGCUGAGGCAUGAUUUAUGUAAGAUUGAGAUGCAUUUUUGCCACUUCAUGUGAUAUGCGUACUUGUUCAUAUGUCUUUAAGCUGAUUUCACUUGUUUGUAAUUCCAAAGUUUUUGCUGAGGCUUGAUUUUUUAAGUUUUAGAUGCAUAUUCGUUACUUCAUGUGAAAUCACUUGUUUGUGUGCCCAAAUGUAUACUUGUUUGUAAUUGGGAAAAAUUGUUUCAUUUUUUAAAAUUACUCGUUAACAUCUCAUUAGAAUCUAAGAGCUCCUACAAUUGACUUAUUCAUCCUCAGCAAAUACUUGCACAAGAUUACUUAAGCUUUCUUGCAUCUGUAAGCAUGAGCAGUCAUAAGAAUCUAUACAUAAGGAGAAAAAACAAGACUCAUUUCAUCAAGGUUAUAUGUAUUGAUUGUGAAGUUUGAAGAUGGCAAUUUUAGCCUCAUUACAUGCCUUUGUCAUAGUGGCAAUAAUUUUCAAGGCAGCUCUUUGUUUGCUGUCAAAGAGAAAACUUGGAUUCACAAAAGAUUUUCCUAUUAGACGUGAUGAUUUGUUGGUUUUCCUAUGCUCUUGGCUAUUAUUUGGCACCCCAUUUUCGGAUCAGGUUAUAACUUCAAAUUUUUUACUUGCUAUUGGAGGCAUCGUCAGCAUUACCAUGCCAGGAGAAAAAAAAGAAGGAAGGUGGUCCAAUGACUGAACAGCUGAUUUCAGCAAAAAAAAAAGACUGAACAGCUGAAGGGCAAACUAAGCUGUCCUCAGGGUUCUCCAUAAUAAUUAUGCCCCAUUCCUUUAGCCAAUUUAGCUCAUAAUUUAAAUUUAUCCUCCUCUAAUAAAAAUUUAAAGACACAGAACACACACACACAAUCAGAGAGAGAGAGAGAGAUGGAUAGAUAUAUAUAUAUAUAUAUAUAUAGUAGAGAGAGAGAGAGAGAGAGAGAGAGAGAGAGAGAGAGNNNNNNNNNNNNNNNNNNNNAACACACACACACUCAGAGAGAGAGAGAGAGAGAGAGAGAGAGAAGAGAGAUUUCGAUGGAACUUUGACCUAAAACCUGCUGUUUUUAUUUGAGAUUGUCCAAAAACUUCUCUCUCAAAACUGUGACAGAUCAUCUAAAUCGUGAUAAAAUAUAGAGUUGGAAGAAAAAUUGAAAACUGAAGUUAAGAAGUACAAGAAAAGGCUAGAAUCACCUCUAGAGUUGAUUGGAACUAAUACUAAUCAGGAGAACUUCUCCAUGACAAUACCUUGACCUUAAUUCACAUGCCUAAUUCCAUCUAUAUGGAUUUUUUGGAUCAAAGUUUGUCCAUCAAAGUGUAGACUAUUUUAUGAUGGGCUCAAAAUCUAACAUCAGUUCUCUCUUUGUUGCUGUCUAGCUACUGACUUGGGUGAUUUUGGCCAAGAAUGGGGCCCUCUGUAAUAAUUAGAAAGCCAACUGGUGGAAGGAUAUUUUGCUGGUCAUGUGAUUUAAGAUCAUGCUUUCUGAAAAGCAGUCUGCCCUCCAUGGUUUCAUUGAACUUGAAUAGUGUCUGCAUGGAGGAGGAAAAUGUGGGUAGGAAGCUCACAUUUAGGGCAAGUUGCUUUACUGGUUAGAUAGUUAGGCUCAUGUAGCUAAAAGGAAACCUUUCAGUAAAAACCAAAUUCAAUGUUUCACUAUAUCAUUAUUCAAAUUCCAUACUUGUGUUAUUUAUGAUAUGAAUAUUAAUUGCUCUAAAUAAUCCAAACUAUCAAAUCAAAAACCAUUAAACAGGAUUCAAAUGGCUGUAAUUAAAUAGCGGUACCUGGAAUGCACUAUAAUAAUACAAGAGUCAUGUGUUAUAGGGAAAACAUUGAUGUCUUCCUACAACCUCUUUCUAGUUUUAUUGAUCCCUUGCUACUAAUGAUCUUCGUUACCUAGACACUCACGUCUAGAUCUUAGGAUCAUGUUCGAUACAUAUUUAAAUUGCACAUGCAUAAGACAGUCAUAACUUAAUAAAUUUUUUGGUUGCAGUUUUUAGAUAUUGGUAGGAGAGUUGGACAUUUCCAACAAGGAGUUUGAUCUGCUAAGAAAAUGUUAAAAGUGAGCUUUUGUUCUUUAAACAGAUUGGUUAUGAGUUAGUUUCCAAAAUAAUUUUGAAAUUGUUAUGUUCUGAAAAUCUUUAAGCUAAUUGGAAAGAUUGAAAGAGAAACUAUAUAUAUAUAUAUAUAUAUANNNNNNNNNNNNNNNNNNNNAUAUAUAUAUAUAUAUAUAUAUAGCCUGUAUCUUGCCCUAUUUCCCCUACAAAAUAUGCUUUCUUGAAUGUUUGCUUGUCAUCAUGGCUUGUUCAAGCACUCACUUUCAAAUAGUAAGUUAUCCACUUUAUUGAUGAUGUGGUUCGCCUGCAUAUCACUCAUUAUUAUCAUGCCACUAUAUUCUGUUGAGCCACCAACCCCAAAGACUAUCUUUCAUUUGCACAUAAAGGCUUAGAAAUGAACCCCUCAAUAAGUUUAUCUUCAUACUCUUGAUAGAAAAUUAUGUAAAAUAGCGGGCAAGUUAUCAUCAUUGACUCCAACAGUACCAAGAGUAAGUUUCAUUAUGGUAAUAUCAAUCAAAUUACCCGCAAAAGCCUCACAACUAAUAUGAUUGUAUUUUAAUAAAAUAAAUUAGGCUCAACAAUUUUGAAAAAUGGAUCCUGAAUGCAUGGAUUGUUAAAAUUUCAUGAUUUCUUAUCUCUAUGAAUCAAAGAAAUUUGUGCUUCUUUAGCCUCCUUCAAGCAAGGAGAAGAUGAAGUGAUAACAGGUACAAACAAGGAGCAACAAAGUUUGAUGCAAAUCAUAUUAUAUUAAUAUGGAUGACAACACAAAUGUAUAAGAUACACAUGUUUGUGCUCACUGUGGUGGUGGAAAAUGACACUUAAUGAUAUGAGAAUGUACAGACAAGCACGUUAUAGACUAAGAUACAAUAUAUGCACAUUAACUUCGUUUAAGGUAGAUUAUGCAUCAGCAAUUUAUUGAG
rnacentral:lncRNA from 1 species